rnacentral:rRNA from 1 species
AUGCGAAUCUCGAAAGCCUGUCUCAGUUCGGAUUGGAGGCUGAAACCCGCCUCCAUGAAGUUGGAUUCGCUAGUAAUCGCGCAUCAGCCAUGGCGCGGUGAAUACGUUCCCGGGCCUUGUACACACCGCCCGUCAAGCCAUGGGAGCCGGGGGUGCCUGAAGUUCGUGACCGCAAGGAGCGACCUAGGGCAAAACUGGUGACUGGGGCUAAGUCGUAACAAGGUAUC